rfam:Myotis lucifugus cont2.14119, whole genome shotgun sequence.
GGUGGUUCUUGGGUGACACACCCCAGAAUUGGGCUCCCUCCUCUCUGAUUCUAUGUGUGUCACCUGAGAACCACA